GGGGCUGUAGCUCAUCUGGGAGAGCAUCUGAUUUGCACUCAGAAGGUAGCGAGUUCGAUCCUCGUCAGCUCCA
rnacentral:tRNA from 1 species